rnacentral:rRNA from 1 species
GCGAACGCUGGCGGCAGGCUUAACACAUGCAAGUCGAACGGGCAUCUUCGGAUGUCAGUGGCAGACGGGUGAGUAACACGUGGGAACGUACCCUUCGGUUCGGAAUAACUCAGGGAAACUUGAGCUAAUACCGGAUACGCCCUUUUGGGGAAAGGUUUACUGCCGAAGGAUCGGCCCGCGUCUGAUUAGCUUGUUGGUGGGGUAACGGCCUACCAAGGCGACGAUCAGUAGCUGGUCUGAGAGGAUGAUCAGCCACACUGGGACUGAGACACGGCCCAGACUCCUACGGGAGGCAGCAGUGGGGAAUAUUGGACAAUGGGCGCAAGCCUGAUCCAGCCAUGCCGCGUGAGUGAUGAAGGCCUUAGGGUUGUAAAGCUCUUUUGUCCGGGACGAUAAUGACGGUACCGGAAGAAUAAGCCCCGGCUAACUUCGUG